rnacentral:rRNA from 1 species
UACGAAGGGGGCGAGCGUUAUUCGGAAUCACUGGGCGUAAAGCGUGCGUAGGCUGUUCUGCAAGUCAGGUGUGAAAGCCCAAGGCUCAACCUUGGAAGCGCGUUUGAAACUGCAGGACUCGAAUUCAGGAGAGGAUAGCGGAAUUCCCAGUGUAGCAGUGAAAUGCGUAGAUAUUGGGAGGAACACCAGUGGCGAAAGCGGCUAUCUGGACUGACAUUGACGCUGAGGCACGAAAGCGUGGGGAGCAAACAGG